UGGGGAAUAUUGGACAAUGGGGGCAACCCUGAUCCAGCGACGCCGCGUGUGUGAAGAAGGCCUGCGGGUUGUAAAGCACUUUUAGUGGGGAUGAAAAGCUCGGGGCUAAUACCUCCGGGUCUUGACCUAACCCAAAGAAAAAGCACCGGCUAACUCUGUGCCAGCAGCCGCGGUAAUACAGAGGGUGCAAGCGUUAAUCGGAAUUACUGGGCGUAAAGCGUGCGUAGACGGUUAUGUAAGUCGGAUGUGAAAGCCCCGGGCUCAACCUGGGAAUGGCAUUCGAGACUACAUAGCUAGGAUGCGGAAGAGGGCAGUGGAAUUUCGGGUGUAGCGGUGAAAUGCGUAGAUAUCCGAAGGAACAUCAGUGGCGAAAGCGACUGCCUGGUCCAACAUCGACGUUCAGGCACGAAAGCGUGGGGAGCAAACAGGAUUAGAUACCCUGGUAGUCCACGCCAUAAACGAUGAGAACUAGACGUUGAGAGGGUAAGCCUCCCAGUGUCGCAGCUAACGCGC
rnacentral:rRNA from 1 species